rnacentral:sRNA from 1 species
UACGACAACAAUUUGAUGAAAAUCAAGAUGCCAAGCUGCCAGGAACAUAUCCUUUAUGGAGCUAUUACAUUGAGGUGGAUUCAAAGAGAAUGGAUCUGUGGGAACGUCUUGUCUCAUCCUUUCGAUUUGACAAAUCCAUUUCAUUUUUUAAAAUGAUGGUGCCCACUGUGGACACGUCACAUAUGGCUACUUCCUAGAGCGGUUACUUUCUGUUCAAAAACCAGUGCUCUUUACAGGAGGGACAGGCGUGGGCAAGUCUGUGAUAGUAAGAGAUUUACUUGAUCGCAUCUCUGAGAGAAUGAACUACGUACCAGUUUACAUUAACUUUUCUGCGCAAACCAGCAGCGGAAGAACUCAGGAAAUUAUUGAAGGGAAGUUGGAGAAACGAAAGAAAAAUGUUAUUGGUAAAUUUAUUUUUUUGUCUAUAACUGUAACAUUUUAACUUCAUAUACAGUCUAUGUUUUAAACUAAAUGUCUG